AUUCUUCUCCAACAAAAUGGAACCACAUGAUCAAUCAGAGUAUGUUAUGCCGCUGGUUCUAUCUGCUUCUAGGCAUGACAGCAACAAUUGGACCUCAAGGAAUUCCUCAUGAUAAUCCCUAAUGUACAGAGAUGAGGUUGUGCUUCCUAUUGAACUCCAUGCAGUGAUAUUCCUCGCUUCUUAUCGUGGUUUGCCGCCGUUGCUACUACUGCUGUGCAGCAUGUACCCUGGCUGCGAUGAAUCCGUUAUGCCACUGCACAUAUUUUCCCGUCGCUGGAAUCCAGGAAUCAUUUGCAUUGUGCUGCGGUAAGGGUCAUGGUUUUCUCUGUUUUUGCUGAGAAACUCAUGUUCAUCAUGUCCCCUCCUUGUUGUGACCUUUCAAGGAAAUACCAUGCUGCUGCAGUGCUUCAUGGAGGCCAUCUCAAUGUGCCGUGUCGCCUUCCGAAACCAGCAGCACAUCCCAUCGAUUGUCGACUGUUUUGCUGUCCAUUAUUGGCGUUUGUCGCCAUCGAGAUCAUGUCCAGCAACCAUGAACCUCAAUGUUUCUAUUAUGGUGCUUGUACCGGUUGAUUGCUAACGUUAGAAGAGGAUCUCUACAAGGAUGAUCAAGAAGUUGGAUAGCAAGAAUUUGGAAGGCAAGUGUAACAUGAGUACCCUUGUUACCUAAUAACUAUAUAAUCAUCUUUUCAUA